UGAGGAAUAUUGGUCAAUGGACGAGAGUCUGAACCAGCCAAGUAGCGUGAAGGAUGACUGCCCUAUGGGUUGUAAACUUCUUUUAUACGGGAAUAAAGUGAGCCACGUGUGGCUUUUUGUAUGUACCGUAUGAAUAAGGAUCGGCUAACUCCGUGCCAGCAGCCGCGGUAAUACGGAGGAUCCGAGCGUUAUCCGGAUUUAUUGGGUUUAAAGGGAGCGUAGGCGGGUUGUUAAGUCAGUUGUGAAAGUUUGCGGCUCAACCGUAAAAUUGCAGUUGAUACUGGCGACCUUGAGUGCAACAGAGGUAGGCGGAAUUCGUGGUGUAGCGGUGAAAUGCUUAGAUAUCACGAAGAACUCCGAUUGCGAAGGCAGCUUACUGGAUUGUAACUGACGCUGAUGCUCGAAAGUGUGGGUAUCAAACAGGAUUAGAUACCCUGGUAGUCCACACAGUAAACGAUGAAUACUCGCUGUUGGCGAUAUACAGUCAGCGGCCAAGCGAAAGCAUUAAGUAUUCCACCUGGGGAGUACGCCGGCAACGGUGAAACUCAAAGGAAUUGACGGGGGCCCGCACAAGCGGAGGAACAUGUGGUUUAAUUCGAUGAUACGCGAGGAACCUUACCCGGGCUUAAAUUGCAACUGACGGAACCGGAAACGGUUCUUUCUUCGGACAGUUGUGAAGGUGCUGCAUGGUUGUCGUCAGCUCGUGCCGUGAGGUGUCGGCUUAAGUGCCAUAACGAGCGCAACCCUUAUCGAUAGUUACUAGCAGGUAAUGCUGAGGACUCUAUCGAGACUGCCGUCGUAAGAUGUGAGGAAGGUGGGGAUGACGUCAAAUCAGCACGGCCCUUACGUCCGGGGCUACACACGUGUUACAAUGGGGGGUACAGAAGGCAGCUACACGGCGACGUGGUGCUAAUCCCAAAAGCCUCUCUCAGUUCGGAUUGGAGUCUGCAACCCGACUCCAUGAAGCUGGAUUCGCUAGUAAUCGCGCAUCAGCCACGGCGCGGUGAAUACGUUCCC
rnacentral:rRNA from 1 species